rnacentral:rRNA from 1 species
CCUACGGGGUGCAGCAGUGAGGAAUAUUGGUCAAUGGGCGGGAGCCUGAACCAGCCAAGCCGCGUGAGGGAAGAAGGUACAGCGUAUCGUAAACCUCUUUUGUCAGGGAACAAAGGCGGGGACUAGUCCCCGGAUGAGGGUACCUGAAGAAAAAGCAUCGGCAAACUCCGUGCCAGCAGCCACGGUAAUACGGAGGAUGCGAGCGUUAUACGGAGUUAUUGGGUUUAAAGGGUGCGCAGGCGGCCUGUUAAGUCAGCGUGAAAAGACCGGGGCUCAACCCCGGCGAUCCGUUGAAACUGGCGGGCUGGAGUUGGAGAGAAGUACGCGGAAUGCGCGGUGUAGCGGUGCAAUGCUUAGAUAUCGCGCAGAAACCCGAUUGCGAAGGCAGCGUACCGGCUCCACACUGACGCUGAGGCACGAAAGCGUGGGUAUCGAACAGGAUUAGAUACCCUUGUAGUC